UUUUUUGUGUUUCUAAUGGUCUAAACUGCUAGGAAUUUGGAUCUGCCAUUCAAGAAGUCAUUUCGGAUGUGGAGCAUAGACAUUGUGUGAGGUAUUUGCACACAACAUGAAGAAGUUACACCCGGACCAAUCCAUAAAGGAUAGGUUUUGGGUUUGUGCAUGAGCAUCAUACAUGAGGAGGUUUGAGAAUGAGACGGAAGCCUUGAGAGAAUAUGACCACAAUGCUCACAAGUGGUUGAUAGGCAAUACAAAUCCCUCAUACUGGUCUAGAUCACAUUUUAGAGAAGCACUUAAGUUCAAUAUACUCCUCAAUAACCUAGUGAGAGUUUCAACUUAGUCAUCCUAAAGGCCAGAGAGAAGCCAAUUCUGGGUAUGUUGGAGAACAUUAGAGUGCAUCUGGUGGAAAGGCUGCAGACAAAAAGAGAAUAAAUGACGAAAAAGAGUGAUGAAAAUUGUCAAAAAUCCAAUAGAAUCUGGAAAAAGCCAAAUCCGAAUAUUGCUAGGCACUCGGAUGACAAGAGGUUUGAAGUGAAACACAUCUAUGAUGGAACCUAUGUGGUGGAUCCAGACAGGUGCAUAUGCACGUGUAGAAAGUGAGAGCUCACUGGCCUACUGUGUUGUCAUGUCGUGUGCUGCAUUUCAUUAACACCUAUGAAACCAGAGUAAUAUGUGCACAAAAGUUACUCCAGGGAGGCAUAUUUGGCUGCAUAUGAACCAGCUAUUGUCCUAAUCAGUGGACCUACUGCUUGGAGGGACUCCAGUAAGGACCCUAUGUUACACUUCCCAAAAGACCAAAGAAAGCAAGGAGGAGGGAACCUGAUGAACCUCGAAGAGACAGUAAUGGAGUUAUCAAGCUGUCAAAAGUCGGGGUUGUUGCACUAAGUUGCUCAAAUUGUCAUGCAAAAGGACGUACAAUAAGAAAAUAUCCUCUCAUUAUACCACUGGAGCAGUUAGCUGGUCAUGGCAGUGGAAGGGGUCCUUUCAACACCAACAAAUGCAGCAACUGUCAUGGACUUGGUCACAAUAGAAGGACAUGUCCAGAGAGUCAUUUCAGGUGACGAAGUAGUGGGGUUGCAGCUAAUGUGAACCAGAGUAUUGCUGAUGAACCUGUUCCUGAAGAGGCUGGACAACAACCUGAACCUGAUGAAUAGCCUUCAGUUGAUGAACAUCAAACCUGUGCAGGCUCAAAACAUGACAAACAGUGAUAAUCUGCAACCUGUCCAAGAAGAGGCUAAAAUCAUCAAUUUCACAUUUUUGGCUCCUAGUGAAAUUGUUGAACCAAGGAAGAAAACUGUUAAAUGAUACUUUUGUAGAGCUCCUGGACAUAACAAAAAAACAUGUCCUUCACAGCAUGAAUAAUCUUGGUGAAGAAGAAGGCCAGAAAUGGAUGCUUAUAGUCCAUACUUGAAUCAAUUCGAAAAAAUGGAGGACAAAACAGAAAGUGAGUUAAUAAUAUACAAGUCACCUUCAAAUUUGCAUGAUUUCUUACUUGCAUAUUUGUGUGGGCGCAUAAGCUCAUGAUGAUUCAGAUGAUCAAACUGAACCUGGAAGUGCAGACCAUUAGUAAUUAGAGGAUUACAAGCAGUUGCAGUUACUGCUGACCUUGUUGUGGACACAGUCUGCUUUUUUUGCCUUCCGAACUCAGCAACUGUCUUGUCCAUAGACUGUAUAUUGUUUAGUGGCUAAACUGGUGUUUUGCGUAACUAUAUCUUGGUUAGAUGGUAUACAUUCUGCUUCAUAGACACUUACUCUUUUGGAACUUUGUAAACAUUGUCAAUGGCUGGCAUAUUCUAAGUUCAAUUGCUUGGAUUAAUUUGUGGCUGGAAAUGACAAUCUUUACGUGU